rnacentral:rRNA from 1 species
UGUGCGCGAGUCACUGGGAACACUCCUAAACCCAGAGGCGCAGUGAAAGCGUGAGGCUCGCGCGGCAUAAAGCCGUUCGCGAGCCGCUAAGGGAGGACGGUCGGUCGUUCCCGAACGGGGCGGCCGGCCAGCACUCCCGGGGCGCCUCGGCUCCGGCCGCAGGCGCACCCGGAGCGCACACGUUGGGACCCGAAAGAUGGUGAACUAUGCCCGGCCAGGACGAAGUCAGGGGAAACCCUGAUGGAGGUCCGCAGCGAUUCUGACGUGCAAAUCGAUCGUCAGAGCUAGGUAUAGGGGCGAAAGACUAAUCGAACCAUCUAGUAGCU